CCAAGGCCACAAGCGUAGAGACAGUCAAAUGGCCAAACCAAAACGCAUGUUAUUUCAUAUCUUAAGCAUUCCAAGAUAAAGCCAAGUAGAAAAACAAUCCCAAGCCUUUGAAACCAGCGAAGGACGGAUGUACUACCAAUAAGCAGCAGUUGCAGCAAUCAAUCACUGGCACAGUUCAUUAACGGCGGAAACAGAAGCAAGAAACGAACUUCCUGAUAAGAUGUAUCUGCAGGAGCCCCUCACCGCAGAGCGCAGUGAUCGACUGGAUAUAUAAGGGCCUGCAGAGCUGGGAGAAUCCACACACCAGGUUCUUCGUAACAGAGACUGAAUUGCAAAUCUCUGAGAGGCUACAAACUGCAUUUCAUCACAGAAUGGAUCUAAGCUGGUAGCAAGAAUCAUAUG